rnacentral:rRNA from 1 species
AACACGUGAAAUUCCGUCGGAAUCCGGGAGGACCAUCUCCCAAGGCUAAAUACUCCCUAGUGACCGAUAGUGAACCAGUACCGUGAGGGAAAGGUGAAAAGCACCCCGGAAGGGGAGUGAAACAGUUCCUGAAACCGUGUGCCUACAAGUAGUUAGAGCCCGUUAAUGGGUGAUAGCGUGCCUUUUGUAGAAUGAACCGGCGAGUUACGAUUUGUUGCAAGGUUAAGCGGAAAAAGCGGAGCCGUAGCGAAAGCGAGUCUGAAUAGGGCGCAUAAGUAACAGGUCGUAGACCCGAAACCAGGUGAUCUACCCAUGUCCAGGAUGAAGGUAAGGUAAUACUUACUGGAGGUCCGAACCCACGCACGUUGAAAAGUGCGGGGAUGAGGUGUGGGUAGCGGAGAAAUUCCAAUCGAACUUGGAGAUAGCUGGUUCUCUCCGAAAUAGCUUUAGGGCUAGCCUCGAGGUAAAGAGUCAUGGAGGUAGAGCACUGUUUGGACUAGGGGCCCUUCUCGGGUUACCGAAUUCAGAUAAACUCCGAAUGCCAUGUACUUAUACUCGGGAGUCAGACUGCGAGUGAUAAGAUCCGUAGUCGAAAGGGAAACAGCCCAGACCACCAGUUAAGGUCCCCAAAUAUAUGUUAAGUGGAAAAGGAUGUGGGGUUGCUUAGACAACCAGGAUGUUGGCUUAGAAGCAGCCACCAUUGAAAGAGUGCGUAAUAGCUCACUGGUCGAGUGACCCCGCGCCGAAAAUGUACCGGGGCUAAACAUAUUACCGAAACUGUGGAUGAACCUCUUUAGAGGUUCGUGGUAGGAGAGCGUUCUAAGGGCGGUGAAGUCAGACCGGAAGGACUGGUGGAGCGCUUAGAAGUGAGAAUGCCGGUAUGAGUAGCGAAAGAAGGGUGAGAAUCCCUUCCACCGAAUAUCUAAGGUUUCCUGAGGAAGGCUCGUCCGCUCAGGGUUAGUCGGGACCUAAGCCGAGGCCGAUAGGCGUAGGCGAUGGACAACAGGUAGAGAUUCCUGUACCAGUGCUAAUUGUUUAACCGAUGGGGUGACACAGAAGGAUAGGGAAUCGCACGAAUGGAAAUGUGCGUCCAAGCAGUGAGUGUG